AGGAAGACGGAGUUAUCUGAGAAAAGGUCUGCAUUAGGGAGAAAAUGGAGCCAUGUCUUUUCAAGAACCAGGGAACCAGACAGAUUAUUCUUCUAGCUCUGGCAUUUGAUACCUACAGAGCUCAUAUUUCAGCUUUUACCAAGGUUAUAGGAACGCCUAAAGCUGAGCAGAAAGGACACUGUGGAAGAAAGCAUAUUUGAAACUUCUUAGCUGAUGAUUGUUUAAACACCAUCUUCCAGCUGUUUCAUUUCUGGGUCUUUAGAAGAAAUAAACAACAUCUGCCCCUCUGUGCAUUAUUGGUUUAAAGAACUUUGUGUUUAUGAAAUAUGAUGUGC
rnacentral:lncRNA from 1 species